GCAAGAGUGACUGCGGAUACAAAGAUGAAUACGGAAGUCCUGCUAUAGAGGCAAGCUUGGCUGUGCCCGUAUGCAGACAGAGCAGGGAGAAGUGCAGUGCUGUGUGAUGGCUGUGGGGCUCUGAAGAACAGGAGGCUUGCGCCCUGCACAUGCCGUGGGCACUCGGGAACCUUUCCGAAACCACUUCUGGCUAGCCGAUCUAACCUUCAUCUAACUACCCUCCAUCCCAGCUCCCCGCUGAUAUGUGCUGACUUUAAUACAGUUACUCUCAAGUUA